rnacentral:rRNA from 1 species
CCGAUCAGGUUGUUGGUGAGGUAAUGGCUCACCAAGCCUUUUACCGGUGCGGGCCGUGAGAGCGGGAGCCCGGAGAUGGGCACUGAGACAAGGGCCCAGGCCCUACGGGGCGCAGCAGUCGCGAGAACUUUGCAAUACACGAAAGUGUGACAGGGCUAUCCCGAGUGCCAUCCGCUGAGGAAGGCUUUUACCCAGUCUAGAACGCUGGGGGAAUAAGGAGAGGGCAAGUCUGGUGUCAGCCGCCGCGGUAAUACCAGCUCUCCGAGUGGUGUGGAUGUUUAUUGGGCCUAAAGCAUCCGUAGCUGGCUGAGUUAGUCCCUUGUUAAAUCCACCGAAUUAAUCGUUGGAUUGCGGGGGAUACUGCUCGGCUAGGGGACGAGAGAGGCAGACGGUAUUCCUGGGGUAGGGGUGAAAUCCUAUAAUCCCAGGAGGACCACCAGUGGCGAAGGCUGUCUGCUAGAACGCGCCCGACGGUGAGGGAUGAAAGCUGGGGGAGCGAACCGGAUUAGAUACCCGGGUAGUCCCAGCUGUAAACGAUGCAGACUAGGUGUUUGGACGGCCACGUGCCGUUCUAGUGCCGCAGGGAAGCUGUUAAGUCUGCCGCCUGGGGAGUACGAUCGCAAGAUUGAAACUUAAGGGAAUUGGCGGGGGAGCACCACAA